rnacentral:lncRNA from 1 species
GCAGGGACUACUGCUGCCUUGCAGCUGGAGUGGGGAGAGGAGAGGAUAUGGUCACGUUUUGGGUUGCUCAAAUUACCUUGGCAAGUGGUGCUUGCAUCAGAAGGGCUCUGAACCAGACAGUUGAAAGUACUUGAUAGUUCCUUUCUCCCCAGAACACACAGGUGCUGAACUCCAUGGAGAACUCCCUGGGUGUCAGCUGAGAUCAUGGACCUGAUGUGGAUAAUUACCUCCUGAUUAUCCAGCUGGGUAUGAAAUGUUGGUGAAACAAAUCCAUGUGCCCAAAGAGCAGCUCAGCUAUGAGAUUGUGAGAUUCCACCCUGGCACUACGUACAUUGUCACACUUCCAUCACAUGUGAAGGGGAUUGCCAGUGAGCCCAAGCAUCUAGAAGCAAGUACAGGUGUUUUAGGGGUUUAAUUCAACUGGAGAUAGCUAAUCCUGCACUUCGAAAUGCUGUCUCAGGAGUCAUUAGCCCAACCAAUGUGACAGCCAACUGAGUG